rnacentral:rRNA from 1 species
CGCCUUUGGAAAAUCAUCAAACGCUCCUGCCUGCCCGGUGAUUUAAAAAUUAAACGGCUGCGGUACUCUGACCGUGCAAAGGUAGCAUAAUCAUUAGCCUGUUAAUUUCAGGCUGGCAUCAAUGGCAAGACGAAGGAAAAGCUGUCUCUUUCUAUUAUUUUAGAAUUUUUCUUUUUGGUGAAGAGACCAAAAUAUAAAAGUGGGACGAGAAGACCCUAUUGAGUUUAAGUUAAUUUAUAGAAGUUAAAUUUUUAUUUAAAAACUUUGGUUGGGGCAACUGUUUAUAAAAUUAAACAUAAUAAAAUAGAAAUUGAAUUAAAUCUAGAAGUGUAAGUACCCAGGAUUAUUCUGGAAUUAAAAAUAAUUACCAUAGGGAUAACAGCGUAAUUCUUUUUGAGAGUACAUAUUGACAAAAGAGUUUGCGACCUCGAUGUUGGAUCAAGUUUUCCUGGAGGUGCAGCAGUUUCUAAGGGUUGGUUUGUUCAACCAUAAAAAUCUU